CUCAGGCCUUUUGGAACCGUUUCUGUCAGAAGCCAGCUGACUGUCCCAGCCAAGUCAGCUCUCUGUGGUGAGCGGUGAUCCCAGAUAGACAAGCUUCCUCUAGCUGUCUCUGUCCAGUUAGAAGGAAGCCAAGGUUGAAAGUGAGAAUUGGUAACAGCAGCAACAACAAAAAAUACAAAAGGACUGGAAAAUGUGCAAACUGGCCAGAAAAGGAAUGAACUGAAACCUGUGGACAAGGAGGAUGUGGUUGUUGAAGAGAUCGGCGCCAUCACAGACAAAGCCUCAAUGAAAACAGAAACAAACGGAAGCCACACUUUUCACUGAGACAAUAGGAAAGCUUCCUGCGUUCGAAUCUGAGAGACCUGCAAAGCAGCAAGUGUCCCAGGACUCUGCUGAGAGCAGCAAAAGCCUCCACCGUCUGGACCCCAGGCCGCUGAGUGUUGACCCUGCCUUCACUCACAUAACAAUCUCCUUCCGUGUCUGCUCCAGCAUCAUGUACUGGGUCCACUCCUGCUCAGUCUCAUACGUCUUUGACUGAUCCACAAUCUUUUGGAACAUGGUCCUUUUCCUGAAAGAGUAGAUCAAGUAUGAGAAUGAGGCGGCAGAGCCGGGUGUGGUGGCGCAUGCCUUUUAAUCCAGCACUUUGGAGGCAGAGGCAGGCAGACCUCUGAGUUUGAGGUCAGCCUGGUCUACAGAGUGAGUUCCAGGACAGCCAGGACAGCUACACAGAGAAAUCCUGUCUCAAACCCCUACCUCUCUCCACACACCCCCCCCCCCCCAAAAGAGAAUGAGGCAACAGCUGGGCUGCUAACAUGGGCUGUUCCAGAUGGGGAAGUUAUUAAAUUCACAUAGUU